GGUUCGGUAGUUCAGUUGGUGGAACGUCUACUUAACACGCAGAAGGUCGUCGAUUUAAGUCCGACCCGGACUA
rfam:Sphaerobolus stellatus SS14 unplaced genomic scaffold SPHSTscaffold_3, whole genome shotgun sequence.